rnacentral:rRNA from 1 species
ACAAACAUGAGAGUUUGAUCCUGGCUCAGGAUGAACGCUGGCGGCGUGCCUAACACAUGCAAGUCGAGCGAGAAACAUAUAACGGAAACUUCGG